UACGAAGGGGGCUAGCGUUGUUCGGAAUCACUGGGCGUAAAGCGCGCGUAGGCGGAUUGUUAAGUCAGGGGUGAAAUCCUGGAGCUCAACUCCAGAACUGCCUUUGAUACUGGCGAUCUCGAGUCCGGGAGAGGUGAGUGGAACUGCGAGUGUAGAGGUGAAAUUCGUAGAUAUUCGCAAGAACACCAGUGGCGAAGGCGGCUCACUGGCCCGGUACUGACGCUGAGGUGCGAAAGCGUGGGGAGCAAACAGG
rnacentral:rRNA from 1 species